GACGAACGCUGGCGGCGUGCUUAACACAUGCAAGUCGAACGGAAAGGCCCUGCUUUUGUGGGGUGCUCGAGUGGCGAACGGGUGAGUAACACGUGAGUAACCUGCCCUUGACUUUGGGAUAACUUCAGGAAACUGGGGCUAAUACCGGAUAGGAGCUCCUGCUGCAUGGUGGGGGUUGGAAAGUUUCGGCGGUUGGGGAUGGACUCGCGGCUUAUCAGCUUGUUGGUGGGGUAGUGGCUUACCAAGGCUUUGACGGGUAGCCGGCCUGGGAGGGUGACCGGCCACAUUGGGCCUGAGAUACGGCCCAGACGCCUACGGGAGGCAGCAGUGGGGAAUAUUGCACAAUGGGCGGAAGCCUGAUGCAGCAACGCCGCGUGCGGGAUGACGUCCUUCGGGUUGUAAACCGCUUUCGCCUGUGACGAAGCGUGAGUGACGGUAAUGGGUAAAGAAGCACCGGCUAACUACGUG
rnacentral:rRNA from 1 species